AAGGAAUAUUGGACAAUGGACGCAAGUCUGAUCCAGCCAUGCCGCGUGAAGGAUGAAUGCCCUCUGGGUUGUAAACUUCUUUUAUAGGGGAAGAAAGAUACUUUUUUUAAGGUAGUUGACGGUACCCUAUGAAUAAGCACCGGCUAACUCCGUGCCAGCAGCCGCGGUAAUACGGAGGGUGCAAGCGUUAUCCGGAUUUACUGGGUUUAAAGGGUGCGUAGGCGGGCAUGUAAGUCAGUGGUGAAAUACCGGAGCUUAACUUCGGAACUGCCAUUGAUACUAUAUGUCUUGAAUAUUGUGAGGUAAGCGGAAUAUGUCAUGUAGCGGUGAAAUGCAUAGAUAUGACAUAGAACACCAAUUGCGAAGGCAGCUUACUACACAAUCAUUGACGCUGAGGCACGAAAGCGUGGGGAUCAAACA
rnacentral:rRNA from 1 species